AUUGAACGCUGGCGGCAGGCUUAACACAUGCAAGUCGAGCGAGCGGCGGACGGGUGAGUAAUGUCUGGGAAACUGCCUGAUGGAGGGGGAUAACUACUGGAAACGGUAGCUAAUACCGCAUACCCUCAGAUGUGCCCAGAUGGGAUUAGCUAGUAGGUGGGGUAAUGGCUCACCUAGGCGACGAUCCCUAGCUGGUCUGAGAGGAUGACCAGCCACACGGGAACGUAGACACGGUAAAGACUCCGACGGGAGGCAGCAGUGGGGAAUAUUGCACAAUGGGCGCAAGCCUGAUGCAGCCAUGCCGCGGGUGUGAAGAAGGCCUUCGGGUUGUAAAGAACUUUCAGCGAGGAGGCGUUACGCGCAGAAGAAGCACCGGCUAACUCCGUGCCAGAAGCGGCGGUAAUUC
rnacentral:rRNA from 1 species